GGCGGGGUUCAGGGCUGGGGUGCAUAGGCAGGGCUGGAGGAGUCGGGUAUCACCCUGACAGCCCUUCACCUCCUUCCCAGGACGCUGACGGACCUGCUGAAGCAGCCGGGCCAUGGCCCCUCUGAGCAUGUGGAUGGCCUCGUGGGGGACGUGCAGGUCCCACUGGGUGAGGGGCUGCCCCGGGGGCCCCCCAGGACCGGCACAGGUAAGGUACUGGUGCAGUGGGGAAAAAUAAGCUCCCUUGGGUGAAUAAAGGCAGCAGGAGGGUGCUGCCCAUGGCUGAGCACCUGUCUCUGCUCCUCCAGACAACUCACCUUUGAACAAUGCGGUGGCCAUUGCACCCCCGCUGGGGCGGCCCCACGGCCACGGCAAGCGUCUGCCACUGGCCAGCGGCCUGGCCUUGCCGCCCCCCGCCUACGCUGCCCACGCCACGCUCAAGGCUGGAGAGAGCGCCCCCGAGGACUUCUACAGGCGGUUCGGGGGGCCGGAGGUGUCCCCCACCNNNNNNNNNNNNNNNNNNNNNNNNNNNNNNNNNNNNNNNNNNNNNNNNNNGCCCCCCCCCGCGGCACCCGCUGGCCUGGCCUGGCUACCCUGCACCCCGAGGGGCCACCUGAGGCCUUCGGCCCCGCCACCCUGCUGUACGGCCAGCCCCCCCGGCACCUCACCACCAACAGCAAGACCGAGGUCACCGUCUGAUGGCCUGUGCCACUGGGGGCUGGGACUGCCCCCUUGCCUGAGUGUCGCUGACAGCAUCCCCCAGGGGCAGCCUGCUGGAGCAAAGCAUCGUAGGUCCUACAUAAACCACAACAGUUGGCCAUGGCAAGAGAUGUGCCCUCCUUCCUCUCCCGCAGCUGGGCUGUGCUUCACCAUCAAGGAGGCACCAUGGGCCAGGCUGUCCCUCUCACGUGGGUAAAAAGUUCCAGCCAUUCUCAGCCCACCCUAUGAAGAGGCUGAAUUGGGGCCACAUUGACAAAACAGUGUGCAGCUCAGGGGAUGGUGGCUGAUGCUGGACAGACCACAGCCCCGAGGAAUGGGGGGACACAUCCUGCUGGUGCCAGGCAUCCCUGCCUAGCCCCUGUGAGCAGGUGGAGGAAGAGCAACGGACUCAAAGCACAAUCCUGUGCUGCCAGCAGAGCCCAAGCAGCCUCUUUCCCUCUCUAGCCUACUCUUCUCCCCUGCCCCAGCCUCCACCUUGUCAAUAAAUAAUACAUUAAAC
rnacentral:lncRNA from 1 species